AUUGAACGCUGGCGGCAUGCCUUACACAUGCAAGUCGAACGGCAGCACGGGUGCUUGCCCCUGGUGGCGAGUGGCGAACGGGUGAGUAAUACAUCGGAACAUGUCCUGUAGCGGGGGAUAGCCCGGCGAAAGCCGGAUUAAUACCGCAUACGAUCUACGGAUGAAAGCGGGGGACCUUCGGGCCUCGCGCUAUAGAGUUGGCCGAUGGCUGAUUAGCUAGUUGGUGGGGUAAAGGCCUACCAAGGCGACGAUCAGUAGCUGGUCUGAGAGGACGACCAGCCACACUGGGACUGAGACACGGCCCAGACUCCUACGGGAGGCAGCAGUGGGGAAUUUUGGACAAUGGGCGAAAGCCUGAUCCAGCAAUGCCGCGUGUGUGAAGAAGGCCUUCGGGUUGUAAAGCACUUUUGUCCGGAAAGAAAUCCUUGGCCCUAAUACGGUCGGGGGAUGACGGUACCGGAAGAAUAAGCACCGGCUAACUACGUG
rnacentral:rRNA from 1 species